rnacentral:hammerhead_ribozyme from 1 species
AUACAGCUGACGAGUUCCAAACAGAACGAAACGCGCGUCCUGGAU